AAAAAAAAAAAAAAAAAAAAAGAGGAUUCUGAGCUUGCUCCCGUGCUUUCAGCAUCCAGGUCACUGACCCAGUAUGUCUCAGGCUGAAUUUGACAAAGCUGCUGAGGAGGUGAAGUGCCUCAAGACUCAGCCAAUGGAUGAAGAGAUGCUGUUCAUCUACAGCCACUUCAAACAAGCUACUGUGGGUGACAUAAAUACAGAUAGGCCUGGGCUGUUGGACCUCAAGGGCAAAGCCAAGUGGGACUCGUGGAACAAGCUGAAAGGGACUUCCAAGAAAAAUGCCAUGAAGACCUAUGUGGAAAAGGGUAAAAGAGCUAAAGAAGAAAUAUGGAAUAUGGAAUAUAAACGACCAGAUUUGCUGGCCAGCCACAUGUGUGACACAAUGCCUGUGAAGACAUAAUGCCUUGUUUUUCUUCUAAUGUGGAUGAUAUGGAUCUCAUAUGUUAGGGCCAGAGUUAAUUACUGCUCCUCCUCCCUGUGGA